rnacentral:rRNA from 1 species
CAACUUUCAACAACGGAUCUCUUGGUUCUGGCAUCGAUGAAGAACGCAGCGAAAUGCGAUAAGUAGUGUGAAUUGCAGAAUUCAGUGAAUCAUCGAAUCUUUGAACGCACAUUGCGCCCCUUGGUAUUCCAUGGGGCAUG